rnacentral:misc_RNA from 1 species
UUAAGUUCAGCGGGUAUUCCUACCUGAUCCGAGGUCAACAUUCAGAAGUUGGGGUUUAACGGCGUGGCCGCGACGAUUACCAGUAACGAUGUGUAAAUUACUACGCUAUGGAAGCUCGACGUGACCGCCAAUCAAUUUGGGGACUGUGUUUGCACACAGAUCCCAACACCAAGCUGGGCUUGAGGGUUGAAAUGACGCUC